GGGUAGGAAUGUCCCAGCGUUAACUUUCUGAAUUGUGGGGUGCUCUGUUGUGUUGGCACAUGUCCCUGCUGGUGUGAAACAUGCUGCACACUCUGGGGUGAUGGCAUGGCAGGUCAGUGACAUACUCCUUAAUGAUUCAACUUCCUUUAACAUUGGGGUCUUAAACCAAAAUAAACUCCUCAGGUCACUCAGGGCCCUCUCAGGGCCUAGUAGUGAAGGAGCAUGGGCAAAGGAAGGUGUAGGGCUUCAGCUCCUCCAGGGAGGAGGGAUUGGGUUUGUUCACCUGCCAGUGAUUCAGGAUGCCAUUCAUCACAGCAGAAUGCCAAUCCUUCACCUGCUACCUGUGCCUUCUGUCCUGUGGGGUCUUGGAUGUGCUGUCAUAUUUCUCAGGGUACCUUUCUGGAGUAGAAAGGGAUUAUUCUUCCAUGUGAGAUGUGGAUAUGAUGAGGAUCCUAACGGGCGACACUUACCUGGUGCUUGAAGGGCCUGGCAAUAGUCUAGGUGGCCUGGUGGGUGCCCUGGAGGCAGUGCUGGAUUCCAACACCGAGGUAGCUCCCUCUCAAGUUCUGCUUCAAGUUCCCGGCUCACAGGUGUACUCUCCCAUAGCAUGUGGAGAGUUCCUGGAUGGAUGCAAUGUUCACUGGGCCAUAGCCACUGGUGAGGCUUGUUCCAGACCCUGAGUUGUGAACAUGCGGAGCAUUUGCUUGUUGGUGUGCUUGCAGGUACCACAUUAGAGGAAAUCAACCAGCACUGGAAGUGGCUAGGACAGAAUCUCCUCCAUACUCUGUGUUUGAUUAUAAAGACGACAUGGCCAGCUUUGUCAAGGGGAAGGUGAAGUUCAACUUGUAAUACCUUGGGUUGAUAUCCAGAAAUUGGAAAGGACAGCCACCGUCUUUGUGGCGGACACCAUCCGGAUCACCACACAGAAUAAGGAGCGUGACUCCUCCAUGUUUCUGAUUCUGUAUGUGGUCUUGAAGAUCAUGGAGCAGCUGGUAGAUGUGAUGCUGCGGAGGCUGCUGGAUAAUGAGGUCUGGAGCCAGAUGUGCAGGAGCCAAGCCAGAUCACCAAGAGGCAUGCAGUUCAGUGGCAUUAAGUAUGUUCACACUGAUACAUGACCAUCCUCACUGCCCAUUCCAGAACUCUUCUGACUUGAUUAAACUAAAAGUCUACCUACUACACACUACCACCCUGUUCAACCUUGCCUCACAACCGCCAUUCUGCUGUCUCUGUGGAAUCAGCUGGAUCCCUCACGGCUGAAUCAUAAUCCAUCGUAUGUACAUA